UGGGGAAUAUUGCACAAUGGGCGCAAGCCUGAUGCAGCCAUGCCGCGUGUAUGAAGAAGGCCUUCGGGUUGUAAAGUACUUUCAGUCGGGAGGAAGGUGGUAAGGUUAAUAACCUUAUCAAUUGACGUUACCGACAGAAGAAGCACCGGCUAACUCCGUGCCAGCAGCCGCGGUAAUACGGAGGGUGCAAGCGUUAAUCGGAAUUACUGGGCGUAAAGCGCACGCAGGCGGUUGAUUGAGUCAGAUGUGAAAUCCCCGGGCUUAACCCGGGAAUUGCAUCUGAUACUGGUCAGCUAGAGUCUUGUAGAGGGGGGUAGAAUUCCAUGUGUAGCGGUGAAAUGCGUAGAGAUGUGGAGGAAUACUGGUGGCGAAGGCGGCCCCCUGGACAAAGACUGACGCUCAGGUGCGAAAGCGUGGGGAGCAAACAGG
rnacentral:rRNA from 1 species